CAGCAGCCGCGGUAAUUGCAGCUCCGGUGGACGUAUAUUAAAGUUGUUGCAGUUAAAAAGCUCGUAGUUGAAUUUCGGGAUCAAUAUUUCGGUCAUGCCGUUGGUAUGCACUGUUAUCAUUGAUUUCUCACCUUCUAAAGAACCGUAAUGCCAUUAAUUUGGUGUUACGGGGAAUUAGGACGUUGU
rnacentral:rRNA from 1 species